rnacentral:tRNA from 11 species
AUGGGGGCGGAUUGUAAAUCCGCUGGCUUCGCCUACGUUGGUUCAAAUCCGACUCGGCC